UUUUAAAAGACCUUUUUCGGAAGGUAUGCUUAAAGAGGGGCUUGCGUCACAUUAGUUAGUUGGUAGGGUAAAGGCCUACCAAGACGAUGAUGUGUAGCUGGACUGAGAGGUUGAACAGCCACAUUGGGACUGAGACACGGCCCAAACUCCUACGGGAGGCAGCAGUAGGGAAUUUUCGGCAAUGGAGGAAACUCUGACCGAGCAACGCCGCGUGAACGACGAAGUACUUCGGUAUGUAAAGUUCUUUUAUUGAAGAAGAAACAAUAGUGGAAAAACUAUCUUGACGUUAUUCAAUGAAUAAGCCCCGGCUAACUAUGUGCCAGCAGCCGCGGUAAUACAUAGGGGGCGAGCGUUAUCCGGAAUUAUUGGGCGUAAAGGGUGCGUAGGCGGUUUAAUAAGUCUCUAGUUUAAUUUCAACGCUUAACGUUGUCCUGCUAGAGAAACUGUUUAACUAGAGUGAGAUAGAGGUAAGCGGAAUUCCAUGUGUAGCGGUAAAAUGUGUAAAUAUAUGGAGGAACACCAGAGGCGUAGGCGGCUUACUGGGUCUUUACUGACGCUGAUGCACGAAAGCGUGGGGAGCAAACAGGAUUAGAUACCCUGGUAGUCCACGCCGUAAACUAUGAGUACUAAGUGUCGGGGUUAAACUCGGUACUGAAGUUAACACAUUAAGUACUCCGCCUGAGUAGUACGUACGCAAGUAUGAAACUUAAAGGAAUUGACGGGAUCCCGCACAAGCGGUGGAUCAUGUUGUUUAAUUCGAAGAUACACGAAAAACCUUACCAGGUCUUGACAUACUCUGCAAAGCUAUAGAAAUAUAGUGGAGGUUAUCAGGGAUACAGGUGGUGCAUGGUUGUCGUCAGCUCGUGUCGUGAGAUGUUAGGUUAAGUUCUAAAACGAGCGCAACCCCUGUCGUUAAUUGCCAGCACGUUAUGGUGGGGACUUUAGCGAGACUGCCAAUGAAAAAUUGGAGGAAGGUGGGGAUUACGUCAAAUCAUCAUGCCCCUUAUGAUCUGGGCUACAAACGUGAUACAAUGGCUAUUACAAAGAGUAGCUGAAACGCGAGUUUUCGGCAAAUCUCAAAAAAAUAGUCUCAGUUCGGAUUGAAGUCUGCAACUCGACUUCAUGAAGUUGGAAUCGCUAGUAAUCGCGAAUCAGCAUGUCGCGGUGAAUACGUUCUCGGGGUUUGUACACACCGCCCGUCAAACCACGAAAGUGGACAAUACCCGAAAGCGACAGCCUAACUGCGUAAGCAGAGGGAAUCGUCUAAGGUAGGGUCGAUGAUUGGGGUUAAGUCGUAACAAGGUAUCCCUACCGGAAGGUGGGGAUGGAUCACCUCCUUUCUA
rnacentral:rRNA from 1 species